AUGGCCGAAUGCUUCAAUAGGGUGCUCAAGGGUGUACGUGCAUUACCCGUGACGGCAAUAGUUCAAUACACAUUUGACAAGAUGAAUGCGUACUUUCUGAAGCACUCAAUGGAAACAGAUACGCAGAUAACGGGUGAGAACAACCGCAAGUACAAGUACAAGUUCCCACCCAAGGUUGAUGAAUGGUCGGAAUUUCAAUCACGGGACUCACAGGAAGCUAUACUAUAUAACAACGACGAUUGGUUGUACGAAUUGAAAGAGCCAGGAGGAACCACAAACGAUGGCCGCCAACAUGGAGGUCGGGCUUUCAAGGUCUCCCUAACACGGUGUGAUUGCUCUCGUGGGAGGCCAUUGUUGCUUCAUCUCCCAUGCUCACACUUGUAUACUACCGCUCGCGUUAGGAAUGUGGACGUCGAUCACCCGCUCACCGUGAGGCUCUCGGAAUUCUCAAUCAUGAUGAUGAAGAAUACAUGGGAUCCCCGAUUUCACCCAUACUUUGACCAAUCACAAUGGCCGGAGUACUAUAGAGUUCAACUAUGGACGGAUCUGGAUUUGAAGGUUGUUAAAUGGGGUAGACGUAAGACAAAGCGUCUUAGAGGUGACAUGGACGGAUGGGGCCAUGGUGUUGGCCGUGAAUCAGGCAAUGGCCAAUUCCAAGAGCCUCGUGAGCGCUCCCGUUGUGGGGAAUGCAAAGAUCAGGGCCACAACAAAAGAAAGUGUACUAAACAAAGAAAGAGGUAA
rnacentral:rRNA from 1 species